CCUUCCUGUAGCCCUCUAGUAAUAGGCAACUUGUAUAGCAAGUGGUUUUUCAGGUGUGGAUUUUAGAGUCAAAAUUUGAGUUUAUUCUCCCAUCACCGUGACUCGUUCUUUUUCCUCAUUUCCAUUAGGAUCAUGAGACCAAUGUGUAAAGUGUCUGCUCCAGUGCCUGCCGUGUUGUUUUUAACUGAUCUAGUGGGGCUCGCCGCAUGUUCUGAAGCCCAAAAACGUGUUGUUGUUUUUUUUUUUUUCUUUUUUAGUAAUGUGUAAUCUAUCUUUGAUUACGGUGGGACAGAUAUUUCUGACACAGAUGAGUUACUCGAGAGGGAAAGGGUGCCUCUGCCAUAAAUACUAACUUGUUUCUGUUUUGUCUUGGUGAGCAGAAGUGGUCCAAAGGCAAAGUUCGGGACAAGCUCAAUAACUUGGUCUUGUUUGACAAAGCUACCUAUGACAAACUCUGUAAGGAAGUGCCCAACUAUAAGCUUAUAACUCCAGCUGUGGUCUCUGAGAGACUGAAGAUUCGAGGCUCCCUUGCCAGGGCAGCCCUUCAGGAGCUCCUUAGCAAAGGACUUAUCAAACUGGUUUCAAAGCACAGAGCUCAAGUAAUUUACACCAGAAAUACCAAGGGUGGAGAUGCUCCAGCUGCUGGUGAAGACGCAUGAAUAGGUCCAACCAACUGUACAUUUGGAAAAAUAAAACUUUAUUAAAUCAAA